GUGGGGAAUAUUGCACAAUGGGCGCAAGCCUGAUCCAGCCAUGCCGCGUGAGUGAUGAAGGCCUUCGGGUUGUAAAGCUCUUUAGCCGAUGAUUAUAAUGACUGUAGUCGGAAAUAAGCCCCGGCUAACUUCGUGCCAGCAGCCGCGGUAAUACGAAGGGGGCGAGCGUUAUUCGGAAUCACUGGGCGUAAAGCGUGCGUAGGCGGCUUUGCAAGUUGGGAGUGAAAGCCCAGGGCUCAACCCUGGAAUUGCUCUCAAAACUGCAAGGCUCGAAUUCGGGAGAGGAUAGCGGAAUUGUCAGUGUAGCAGUGAAAUGCGUAGAUAUUGACAGGAACACCAGUGGCGUAAGCGGCUAUCUGGACCGAUAUUGACGCUGAGGCACGAAAGCGUGGGGAUCAAACAGGAUUAGAUACCCCAGUAGUCC
rnacentral:rRNA from 1 species